GGUGCCUUCGGGAACUGUGAGACAGGUGCUGCAUGGCUGUCGUCAGCUCGUGUUGUGAAAUGUUGGGUUAAGUCCCGCAACGAGCGCAACCCUUAUCCUUUGUUGCCAGCGGUCCGGCCGGGAACUCAAAGGAGACUGCCAGUGAUAAACUGGAGGAAGGUGGGGAUGACGUCAAGUCAUCAUGGCCCUUACGACCAGGGCUACACACGUGCUACAAUGGCGCAUACAAAGAGAAGCGACCUCGCGAGAGCAAGCGGACCUCAUAAAGUGCGUCGUAGUCCGGAUUGGAGUCUGCAACUCGACUCCAUGAAGUCGGAAUCGCUAGUAAUCGUGAAUCAGAAUGUCACGGUGAAUACGUUCCCGG
rnacentral:rRNA from 1 species